CCUACGGGAGGCAGCAGUGGGGAAUAUUGGACAAUGGGGGGAACCCUGAUCCAGCCAUGCCGCGUGUGUGAAGAAGGCCCUCGGGUUGUAAAGCACUUUCAGUGAGGAAGAACGCCUGGUGGUUAAUACCCAUCAGGAAAGACAUCACUCACAGAAGAAGCACCGGCUAACUCCGUGCCAGCAGCCGCGGUAAUACGGAGGGUGCGAGCGUUAAUCGGAAUUACUGGGCGUAAAGCGCGCGUAGGUGGCUUGAUAAGCCGGUUGUGAAAGCCCCGGGCUCAACCUGGGAACGGCAUCCGGAACUGUCAAGCUAGAGUGCAGGAGAGGAAGGUAGAAUUCCCGGUGUAGCGGUGAAAUGCGUAGAGAUCAGGAGGAAUACCAGUGGCGAAGGCGGCCUACUGGACUGACACUGACACUGAGGUGCGAAAGCGUGGGUAGCAAACAGGAUUAGAUACCCGUGUAGUC
rnacentral:rRNA from 1 species